ensembl:snoRNA small nucleolar RNA U109
GCGCAUGUCUGUGACCCGCCGGUCAUCACCGACCUCUCGGCCGUUGUGGAGAGGUUGAAGACAAACAUGCCAGAUUAAGACGUGUGGAGUUAACAGGGCCACCAGCCUUUCAAGGACAGGCUGAGUCGGUAGUAUAAAACUCCAACACUC